rnacentral:rRNA from 1 species
AUUGAACGCUGGCGGCAGGCUUAACACAUGCAAGUCGAGCGAGCGGCGGACGGGUGAGAAAUGUCUGGGAAACUGCCUGAUGGAGGGGGAUAACUACUGGAAACAGUAGCUAAUACCGCAUACCAUCAGAUGUGUCCAGAUGGGAUUAGCUAGUAGGUGGGGUAAUGGCUCACCUAGGCGACGCUCCCUAGCUGUUCUGAGAGGAUGACCAGCCACACUGGAACUGAGACACGGUCCAGACUCCUAGGGUGGGCAGCAGUGGGGAAUAUUGCACAAUGGGCGCAAUCCUGAUGCAGCCAUGCGGCGUGUAUGAAGAAGGCCUUCGGGUUGUAAAGUACUUUCAGCGGGGAGGCGUUACCCGCAGAAGAAGCACCGGCUAACGCCGUGCCAGCCGCCGCGGUAAUAC